rnacentral:rRNA from 1 species
GAAUUUCAGGUGUAGCGGUGAAAUGCGUAGAGAUCUGAAGGAAUACCGGUGGCGAAGGCGGCCCCCUGGACAGAUACUGACACUCAGAUGCGAAAGCGUGGGGAGCAAACAGGAUUAGAUACCCUGGUAGUCCACGCCGUAAACGAUGUCUACUUGGAGGUUGUGGCCUUGAGCCGUGGCUUUCGGAGCUAACGCGUUAAGUAGACCGCCUGGGGAGUACGGUCGCAAGAUUAAAACUCAAAUGAAUUGACGGGGGCCCGCACAAGCGGUGGAGCAUGUGGUUUAAUUCGAUGCAACGCGAAGAACCUUACCUACUCUUGACAUCCAGAGAACUUUCCAGAGAUGGAUUGGUGCCUUCGGGAACUCUGAGACAGGUGCUGCAUGGCUGUCGUCAGCUCGUGUUGUGAAAUGUUGGGUUAAGUCCCGCAACGAGCGCAACCCUUAUCCUUGUUUGCCAGCGAGUAAUGUCGGGAACUCCAGGGAGACUGCCGGUGAUAAACCGGAGGAAGGUGGGGACGACGUCAAGUCAUCAUGGCCCUUACGAGUAGGGCUACACACGUGCUACAAUGGCGCAUACAGAGGGCGGCCAACUUGCGAAAGUGAGCGAAUCCCAAAAAGUGCGUCGUAGUCCGGAUUGGAGUCUGCAACUCGACUCCAUGAAGUCGGAAUCGCUAGUAAUCGUGGAUCAGAAUGCCACGGUGAAUACGUUCCCGGGCCUUGUACACACCGCCCGUCACACCAUGGGAGUGGGCUGCAAAAGAAGUAGGUAGUUUAACCUUCGGGGGGACGCUUACCACUUUGUGGUUCAUGACUGGGGUGAAGUCGUAACAAGGUAGCGCUAGGGGAACCUGGCGCUGGAUCACCUCCUUAAACGAUGAU